rnacentral:lncRNA from 1 species
CUUGCGGCUCUCGCCGGUGAUGUAGUAGAUGUCCUUCUGGCCCUCCUUCAUCCGGGUGACGUAGUCCUUGAGGCUGGUGAGGUCGUCGCCGCUCUUGGUGGAGUGGUAGCGGAGGAGGUCGGCGAGCUUGGCGCGGUUCUGCGAGUCCUCGUGCACGCCCAGCUUGAGGUUCUUGGAGAAGGCCUCGUAGAACUUGGCGUAGUCCUCUUUAUUCUCGGCGAUCUCGAAGAAGAGCUCGAUGCACUUCUUGACGAGGUUCUUGCGGAUGACCUUGAGGAUCUUGUUCUGCUGCAGCGUCUCCCGGGAGAUGUUGAGGGGGAGGUCGUCCGAGUCGACGACGCCCUUGACGAAGCCCAGCCACUCCGGGAUGAGCUCCUCGCAGUUGUCCAUGAUGAAGACGCGGCGCACGUAGAGCUUGAUGUUGUUCAUCUUCUUGCGGGUGUCGAAGAGGUCGAAGGGCGCGCGGCGGGGCACGAAGAGCACCGCCUUGAACUCCAGCUGCCCCUCCACCGAGAAGUGCUUCACGGCCAGGUGAUCCUCCCAGUCGUUGGUGAUGCUCUUGUAGAAGGACGCGUACUCCUCCUUGCUGAUCUCCUCCGGCUUGCGCAGCCAGAUGGGCUUCUGCUUGUUGAUCUGCGCCCACUCGUGGCUCACCUCCUUCACCUUCUUCUUCUUCUUCUUGCUCUCGUCCUUGUUCUCGGAGUCGUCGUCGACCUCCUCCACCUCGCCCUCCUUCUUCUCAUCCGACUCUUCAUCUUCGUCGUCGCUGAUCUCCUUCUCGGUGGUCUUCUCGGUCCAGAGGUAGAUGGGGUAGCUGAUGAACUCCGAGUGCUUCUUGACGAGGUCCUUGAGGCGGCGCUCCUCCAGGUACUCGAGCUGGUCGUCCUUGAGGAAGAGCGUGAUCUUGGUGCCGCGCCCGAGCCGCUCGCCCUCCGUGUCGAGGGUGACGGUGAAGGAGCCGCCGGCCUGCGACUCCCACACGUACUGCUCGUCGUCGUUGUGCUUGGUGGUGACCACCACCUUGUCGGCGACGAGGUAGGCCGAGUAGAAGCCGACCCCGAACUGGCCGAUCAUGCUCACGUCCGCCCCCGCCUGCAGCGCCUCCAUGAACUCCUUAGUGCCGGAGCGCGCGAUGGUGCCCAGGUUGUUCACAAGGUCUGCAGCCACGGCAAACAAUCAUCAGAGACUUGGUCGUCAUCAGAUCAGAGGCAAACGGAAAUUCAGUCUGAAACUCUGAAUUAUCAGUUCUCGUCAGAAAUUCAGACAUUCAUUCAGGGAUUCAGCAACAGUUGAACAAGAAAUCAAAAUUCAGACAUUCAGAAGCGUUUGCAACGAACGAUUGCACGUGAAGAUUCAGCGGGCAUAGAUAGAUAGAUGGAUACCUGACUUGGUCAUGCCGACGCCACUGUCGAUGAUGGAGAGCGUCUUGUUGGCCUUGUCGGGGACGAGUCGGAUGAAGAGCUCCGGCUGCGCGUCGAGCUUGCUCUUGUCGGUCAGGCUCUCGAACCGGAUCUUGUCAAGCGCCUGCAAGCAAAGCAGCAUUCGCGUGUGAGCAAAUCAAGCAACAAAUCAAUCAUCUCUGAUUCUGACGACGAACGAAACAGAGGAAGCAGAGGAAACAGAGGAGGAGGAAGGAAGAGACAUAACAUACAUCAGAUGAGUUGGAGAUGAGCUCGCGGAGGAAGAUCUCCUUGUUGGAGUAGAAGGUGUUGAUGAUGAGCGAGAGCAGCUGGUUGAUCUCCGCCUGGAACGCGAACGUCUCCGUCUCCGCCGCGCCGCCGCCCAUCUGCACGUCCGCCAUGGCUGUCACCGGAAAAUCGCACAAGAUUGGGUUGGGUUGGGCGGGAAGAAGCUGGAUUGAACAGUGGGUGGGUUCGCUCGCUGCGUGCAAUGCGACUCGAUUCGCUCGCUGCGGUGGUAAUCGCGGUGCUUGCUUGUCGCGCUGAGAGAAGAGAUUUGGGGACAGACAGAUGGACCAACAGGUGGCGAGCGGGAGGAUUUAUACCCCGGAGAUGGAAUCGGU